GAUGAACGCUGGCGGCGUGCCUAAUACAUGCAAGUCGAGCGAACAGACGAGGAGCUUGCUCCUCUGACGUUAGCGGCGGACGGGUGAGUAACACGUGGAUAACCCACCUAUAAGACUGGGAUAACUUCGGGAAACCGGAGCUAAUACCGGAUAAUAUAUUGAACCGCAUGGUUCAAUAGUGAAAGACGGUUUUGCUGUCACUUAUAGAUGGAUCCGCGCCGCAUUAGCUAGUUGGUAAGGUAACGGCUUACCAAGGCAACGAUGCGUAGCCGACCUGAGAGGGUGAUCGGCCACACUGGAACUGAGACACGGUCCAGACUCCUACGGGAGGCAGCAGUAGGGAAUCUUCCGCAAUGGGCGAAAGCCUGACGGAGCAACGCCGCGUGAGUGAUGAAGGUCUUCGGAUCGUAAAACUCUGUUAUUAGGGAAGAACAAAUGUGUAAGUAACUGUGCACGUCUUGACGGUACCUAAUCAGAAAGCCACGGCUAACUACGUG
rnacentral:rRNA from 1 species